rnacentral:rRNA from 1 species
CAGCAGCCACGGUAAUACGUAGGGUGCGAGCGUUAAUCGGAAUUACUGGGCGUAAAGCGUGCGCAGGCGGUUGUGUAAGACAGGUGUGAAAUCCCCGGGCUUAACCUGGGAACUGCGCUUGUGACUGCACAGCUAGAGUAUGGCAGAGGGGGGUGGAAUUCCACGUGUAGCAGUGAAAUGCGUAGAGAUGUGGAGGAACACCGAUGGCGAAGGCAGCCCCCUGGGCCAAUACUGACGCUCAUGCACGAAAGCGUGGGGAGCAAACAGGAUUAGAUACCCCCGUAGUCCCUGUCUUUUAUAC